ensembl:lncRNA
AGCUUGCGGGAUCAGACGGCUUUGCUAGGCUGUUUUAAAGCCCCGUCAACAUUAGCCCCUAGGCCGAUCUGUAAGAAGGAUCCCCUUAGCCUAUCAGAGGUCAAGAUGCAGUCAUUAUCAUUUGUUAAUACCUAUACAGUCCUUUCCGAUCUACAAGUAGGACAAGGAGAGUGUGCAGGGCAAGUGUGACCUUCCUGGUCCCAUCCCUUAAGUCUGUGAGUCAACACAGGAAGGAGUAAUGGAUGGAUAGUUAUUUUAUUUCCAAAGCUGCGAUCAUAUGGAUGGAUGAAUGAUGAGUAGUAGACAGGAUAUAACAGAUAUAAUCCUGACUAGUCUCCCAGUCCCUGCCGCUGAAAAACAUCCCCACAGCAUGAUGCCUCCACCAUGCUAGGUUUAACAAAAUGACAAGGUGAAAAAAUCUAUGAAUCUGCCCUUGAGCAAGGCACUUAACCCUAAUGGCUCCAGGGUUACUGAUCGUAAUGGAGAGGGGGGUCACAGCCAGCCAUUAUGAACGGUAACCCUGGAGCCAUAAGGGUUAAGUGCUUUGCUCAAGGGCACAUCCAUAGAUGUUUCACCUUGUCGGCUCGGGGAUUCAAACUAGCAACCUCUGUUACUGGCCCAACGCUCAAACCGCUAGGCUACCUGCUUAAACCCCACCAUCAUUAACCCCUAAGCUUGUGGGCCGAUCUGUAAUGAGGAUCCCCUUAACCUAUCACAGGGCAAGCUGCAGUCGUUACCCUUUAGUUAACACCUAUCCAAUCCUUUCAGAGUGGGAUAUGACAAAAAAACACAUUUCUAAAUAUCAUGUGAAAGAGGACAAAUAUUAGUACCCACCAAAUUACUACACACACACUUCAAAGCGUUCCUCCAUCUGGAACCACAAACGUGCACUUUAGUAAACAACAAAAGCAUCUCAAAGGCUCAAUUAAAUGCAUGCAUAUGUAUAUACACAAACACACACACACAAUCAAAUUGUCCCAUCUCUGUUGAAAACAUAAAAUUGUUAACUAUAUUACAAGCACUGUGUGUGUGUGUGUGUGUGUGUGUGUGUGUGGGACGACCUACCCCUCCACAGACUCGUCUCUCAGCUGUGUGUGUGUGUGUGUGGGACGACCUACCCCUCCACAGACUCGUCUCUCAGCUGUGUGUGUGUGUGUGUGUGGGACGACCUACCCCUCCAGACUCGUCUCUCAGCUGUGUGUGUGUGUGUGUGUGGGACGACCUACCCCGCCACAGACUCGUCUCUCAGCUGUGUGUGUGUGUGUGUGGGACGACCUACCCCUCCACAGACUCGUCUCUCAGCUGUGUGUGUGUGUGUGUGUGUGUGUGGGACGACCUACCCCUCCACAGACUCGUCUCUCAGCUGUGUGUGUGUGUGUGUGGGACGACCUACCCCUCCACAGACUCGUCUCUCAGCUGUGUGUGUGUGUGGGACGACCUACCCCUCCACAGACUCGUCUCUCAGCUGUGUGUGUGUGUGUGUGUGUGUGGGACGACCUACCCCUCCACAGACUCGUCUCUCAGCUGUGUGUGUGUGUGUGGGACGACCUACCCCUCCACAGACUCGUCUCUCAGCUGUGUGUGUGUGUGUGUGUGUGUGGGACGACCUACCCCUCCACAGACUCGUCUCUCAGCUGUGUGUGUGUGUGUGUGUGUGUGUGUGUGUGGGACGACCUACCCCUCCACAGACUCGUCUCUCAGCUGUGUGUGUGUGUGUGUGGGACGACCUACCCCUCCACAGACUCGUCUCUCACCUGUGUGUGUGUGUGUGUGUGUGUGUGGGACGACCUACCCCUGUUAAUAAAGUGCAGUUACUUUCACAGAUGCACAGCUCAUAACACUGACAACCAAGGCCUUACACAGACUGCUAUAACAUGGGAGGUAAUGGCGCGUGUGUGUAGGGAGGAGUAAGAGUUUAUUUUCCAUGUUUUUAAAUGAAUACUUUUGAAAUCCUAUUGAUUCAUGUUCUCAGAAUAAUACAGAGUGACUCACCUGAAGCCUCCAUCCUUCAGAUUCAUUCUGAAACGGUGGACGUACGGUGUCCUGAACCAGAGAGAGGAUGAGUUUACACUCGGUUUCAGUAGGGUCGUGUAAAUCAAAAGGUGAGACAAACUGGGUGACAUUAAAACACACUCAAAUGUUGAAAACACUAUCCACUCAUUCUGAAAGUGCUUUUUUAGUUCUAAUGAGGUAUUACUACUCAUCUCACUGCAAUACUUCUUAGAGUAUUGUAGUGAGAUGAGUAUAGACCAGGCCAAGAGUGUGCAAAGCUGCCAUCAAGGCAAAGGGUGGCUACUUUGAAGAAUCUCAGGUAUAAAAUAUUUUGAUUUGUUUAACAUUUUUUUGGUUACUACAUGAUUCCAUAUGUGUUAUUUCAUAGUUUUGAUGUCUUCACUAUUAUUCUACAAUGUAGAAAAUAGUACAAAUAAAGAAAAACCCUUGAAUGAAUAGGUGUGUCCAAGCUUUUUAGAUACUGUGGAGAUAACGUGAUUUGACUUGUCAUUUUAUCUGUGGCCAAUGACCUUGAGCCUUCUUGGAUGGGCACUUCUAAUGUAAUUCUAUGGCAGCACCCAAGGGGCUAGAAUUUUAGAGCUCUACCCACGAGUGACAGAACACUGAGCCAAUCACGGCGCAACGCUACGUAUUUUCUGCUGGCUUGCCUUGCCCAACCAUCGCAGAAAGCACUUGAGCUAGGCUGAAACACCUGCAUCUUGGAGCUGCCUCACUCAAGAAAACAAAAAAGAGACCAUGUUUGUAUGCAGCUUUAUUAACAGCCCUGAAUGACGGGUCGCCACUGAACAUGGGAGACAAUGACCAAAAAUAUGGCUUAGUUUUCAAAUUAUUUCAAAUGAUUGUUUGGAAGCUUCUUGCGUAU